rnacentral:rRNA from 1 species
UACGAAGGGGGCUAGCGUUGCUCGGAAUCACUGGGCGUAAAGCGCACGUAGGCGGCUUCUUAAGUCAGGGGUGAAAUCCUGGAGCUCAACUCCAGAACUGCCUUUGAUACUGGCAACCUAGAGACUGGAAGAGGUUAGUGGAAUUCCCAGUGUAGAGGUGAAAUUCGCAGAUAUUGGGAAGAACACCAGUGGCGAAGGCGGCUAACUGGUCCAGCACUGACGCUGAGGUGCGAAAGCGUGGGGAGCAAACAGG